rnacentral:lncRNA from 1 species
CAACGGAAUUCUCAGGGCCGAACCCGUCGCUGGAAACAUAAAAGAAAGAAUAAACAACAGGUUAAAGGUGAAACAAAACAGAAAAAUAAUAUUGCUAUUCCGACAAUAAAGAUAAAACAUAUAGGCAAGAAACAGAAGAAAUCUAAGAAUCGUAGACGAGACAAUUACGACCGAAUCUUAGGGGAAAGAACGUCGCAAUAUUUCCAGGCCGCAGCUGAUACACGAAAAAUGCGACAGAAAACUGACAGAAACAAAAUUAAAGAUCAUCGAAAGAGACGGAACCCAAGGGUACAGUUUGCCAAUUACCGCGAUGGCGCGAAAACUAUUCCCUCGGUGAAAAAUAAAACCAUACCAGCUAAAACAGAAAUUAUUACGAUAGCAAAGGUAAUGGACACAAAAUUAUAUAAAUUCACAGUCGGAGACCGAGUUUUAGUCAACCA